rnacentral:piRNA from 1 species
UGCAUCCAGAACUACUCUCAGGAGAUG